rnacentral:lncRNA from 1 species
ACUAAAUCAAAUUUCUCAUGUCAUUUCUUAGGUGCCUGCUUCAAAUCAUAAAAAGAUUUCAUCAACUUGCACACCUUGUGUUCAUUCCGAGGUAAUGUAAAUCAUUCGAAGUUGUUCCAUAUAGACCUCCUCAUCGAGAUGUUUAUUUAGGAAUGUUGUUUAAACAUUCAUUUGAUGAACAUGCAAGUCAUAUAUUGAAGUUAAAGAAAAUAAAAUCCUAAUCGAUGUUAUUCUAGCUACCGGUGCAUAAGUAUCAAAAUAGUCGAUUCCUUCCUUUUGUCGAUAUCUUUUGGUUAAGAAUCUAGCCUUGAAGGCAUUUAGAGAUCCAUCAACAUUGUAUUUUCUCCUAAAUACCCAUUUGCAUCCAAUAAGUUUGGAUCUCAUUGGUAAAUCAGCAAGUUCCCAAGUAUUAUUGGAUAUUAUCGAAUCCAUUUCAUCCUUGAUUGCAUCCUUCUAAAAGACGUUGUCACGUGAAGCCUAGCUUCUUUAUAAGUCUUAGUUCCAGUUUCUAUUUGUAGAACAAAAAGAAUUGUUCUUACAACAUUCAACUCGUUUCCCUCCACUAGGUAAAAGAAGAUAAGUUGAGAAUCGAUUUCAUCCUGUCCCAAAGAUUUCUCAACUCGAGUUUUCUUGCUUCUUCGUGGUUCACUAGAUUCAUCAACAUCUUUAGAAGACAUUUCAUCAUGUGUUCCACUUAAGCUAAUGAUAUUUUUAAGAUUUUCCCUCAAUUAAUUAUUCGAAGAUAACAAAUUCUCAAAGAACUCCAUAUUGUUGGAUUUGAUAAUCACAUUGGACUCCAAAUUCAACAAUCUAUAAGAUUUUCUAUUAUUCGAAUAUCCCACAAAUGCACAUUUAAUGUCUCUUGGAAUUUGGCCCUAUUCGGAUUCGUGUUCUUGCAAUAAGUAAGACACCCCCACCCUUUGAAGUAUUCAAUGUUCAUUUUUCUUCCUUUUCGCAAGUCAUGAGAAGAAACCUUAGUAUAUUUCGAAGGAAUCCUAUUAUGUAUCCUACAUUCACUUAAUAAAAUUUCACCCCACAAGAUAAAUGGAACCUUAUCAAGAAUAAGCAUGGCAUUAACAAUUUCAACUAAGGUUCUAUUUUUUCUUUCAGCCAAGCCAUUUUGUUCGGGUGUCGUAGGUGCAGAACAUUGGUGAAUAAUUUCAUGUUGUUCACAAAACAAGUUAAAAUCGCUGAAAAAAUAUUCACCACCUUUAUUACUUCUUAAGGUCAAAUUUUCUUUCCUAGAUAAUUUUCAAAUUCGUUUUUG